UUUGAAUGGCCGCAGUAUAUUAACUGUGCAAAGGUAGCAUAAUCAUUAGUUUUUUAAUUGGAAGCUGGUAUGAAUGGUUGGACGAGAUAUUAACUGUUUCAUAAAAAUUUUAAUUAAAAUUUUAUUUUUUAGUUAAAAAGCUAAAAUAGAUUUAAAAGACGAGAAGACCCUAUAAAUCUUUAUAUUUAUGAUUAUUUUAAUUUUAUAAUUUUUUUUUUCAAUUUUAAUAAUUUAUAAUAUUUUAUUGGGGUGAUAUUAAAAUUUAAUAAACUUUUAAUUAUUAAAAACAUUAAUUUAUGAUUUAUUGAUCUAUUAUUAAUGAUUAAAAAUUUAAGUUACUUUAGGGAUAACAGCGUAAUUUUUUUGGAAAGUUCAUAUUUAUAAAAAAGAUUGCGACCUCGAUGUUGGAUUAAGAUAU
rnacentral:rRNA from 1 species